rnacentral:rRNA from 1 species
CCUACGGGGGGCAGCAGUGAGGAAUAUUGGUCAAUGGUCGGGAGACUGAACCAGCCAAGCCGCGUGAGGGAGGAAGGUACAGAGUAUCGUAAACCUCUUUUGUCAGGGAACAAAGACUGGGACGCGUCCCCGGAUGAGUGUACCUGAAGAAAAAGCAUCGGCUAACUCCGUACCAGCAGCCGCGGGAAUACGGAGGAUGCGAGCGUUAUCCGGAUUUAUUGGGUUUAAAGGUUGCGCAGGCGGGCUGUUACGUCAGCGGUCAAAGCCCGGGGCUCAACCCCGGACCGCCGUUGAAACUGGCAGUCUCGAGUGGGCGAGAAGUAUGCGGAAUGCGAGGUGUAGCGGUGAAAUGCAUAGAUAUCGCGCAGAACUCCGAUUGCGAAGGCAGCAUGCCGGCUCCACACUGACGCUGAGGCACGAAAGCGUGGGUAUCGAACAGGAUUAGAUACCCGGGUAGUC